AUGAUUUCCUGCAACGGACAUCAUUUUCAUCGCAACUUCAAAGAAUGCAUCAAGAAUCUGCAACCGGGAAUUGAUUCAACAAUUAUCGCCAUCUUCAUUGCAUUCUUCAACAACUUCUAUCUACUUAUGCAUAUCUCUCACUACUGCAACAUCAAUCUGAACUUCAUCUCAUUACAUAAUCACUUCUUCAUUCAUCGUCAAAACGCAUCUUUGCUACUACGCGAAAGCUG